rnacentral:rRNA from 1 species
AGUGAACGCUGGCGGUAGGCCUAACACAUGCAAGUCGAACGGCAGCACAGUAAGAGCUUGCUCUUACGGGUGGCGAGUGGCGGACGGGUGAGGAAUACAUCGGAAUCUACUUUUUCGUGGGGGAUAACGUAGGGAAACUUACGCUAAUACCGCAUACGACCUACGGGUGAAAGCAGGGGAUCUUCGGACCUUGCGCGAUUGAAUGAGCCGAUGUCGGAUUAUCUAGUUGGCGGGGUAAAGGCCCACCAAGGCGACGAUCCGUAGCUGGUCUGAGAGGAUGAUCAGCCACACUGGAACUGAGACACGGUCCAGACUCCUACGGGAGGCAGCAGUGGGGAAUAUUGGACAAUGGGCGCAAGCCUGAUCCAGCCAUACCGCGUGGGUGAAGAAGGCCUUCGGGUUGUAAAGCCCUUUUGUUGGGAAGGAAAAGCAGCAGGUUAAUACCCCGCUGUUCUGACGGUACCCAAAGAAUAAGCACCGGCUAACUUCGUG